AGCGGCGGAUGGGUGAGUAACACGUGGGGAACCUGCCCCUAAGUCUGGGAUACCAUUUGGAAACAGGUGCUAAUACCGGAUAAUAAAGCAGAUCGCAUGAUCAGCUUUUGAAAGGCGGCGUAAGCUGUCGCUAAGGGAUGGCCCCGCGGUGCAUUAGCUAGUUGGUAAGGUAACGGCUUACCAAGGCGACGAUGCAUAGCCGAGUUGAGAGACUGAUCGGCCACAUUGGGACUGAGACACGGCCCAAACUCCUACGGGAGGCAGCAGUAGGGAAUCUUCCACAAUGGACGCAAGUCUGAUGGAGCAACGCCGCGUGAGUGAAGAAGGCUUUCGGAUCGUAAAGCUCUGUUGUUGGUGAAGAAGGAUAGAGGUAGUAACUGGCCUUUAUUUGACGGUAAUCAACCAGAAAGUCACGGCUAACUACGUGCCAGCAGCCGCGGUAAUACGUAGGUGGCAAGCGUUGUCCGGAUUUAUUGGGCGUAAAGCGAGCGCAGGCGGAAAAAUAAGUCUAAUGUGAAAGCCCUCGGCUUAACCGAGGAACUGCAUCGGAAACUGUUUUUCUUGAGUGCAGAAGAGGAGAGUGGAACUCCAUGUGUAGCGGUGGAAUGCGUAGAUAUAUGGAAGAACACCAGUGGCGAAGGCGGCUCUCUGGUCUGCAACUGACGCUGAGGCUCGAAAGCAUGGGUAGCGAACAGGAUUAGAUACCCUGGUAGUCCAUGCCGUAAACGAUGAGUGCUAAGUGU
rnacentral:rRNA from 1 species